UGAUUAUUGUUAGCUCACGUGUUUUGUUCAUCUCCAUACCCCCCAGUACUGGGAUAUAACCUCCUCACCCCUCUCUCCCCAGCAGGAUUAUUCUCAAGAAAUGUCUAGACACUGUGGUCAGUUUUCUGCUCUUCCCACGGCAGUGGCCUCCUCCACUGUCUUCUGCGAGCUCAACCAGAACAACUUUUCAACCCAACAUUAGCCGUGAUCAUUUUCUCCUUUCCCAACUGUAAGCCAGUCCAACAGGCUGGGCCAACAGGUUCAUCCACCUUUCCGGGAUUUCCAAACCUGCACAAACAAACUUCAACGAAGUUGAGACUGGCACUCUGUGCUGCCCCAGUUUGGCAGUCACAGCUUCCGCUUUGCAAUUGAAGUUCCAUUGACUUUGGACAUGGUCUAGUUAUGGGGAGCUGAGUAUGUCCUGUGUGCUAGGAUCCCUUGUGACACGCUGACACUGGAGAUUUUUCUGCACUUACUCAAGGGGUUUCUUGGCACUAUUGGGCAUUGCUCAUUCGACACGGGGUACCGUAGAGUGAUGGGACCAUCUGCUCCAGCUGUACAGCACAAUGCCCAAUUCAGGGCCAAUCGUUAGUCAGAUGGCACAUGGCUCUGACUAAGCUGAUUCUGCGUGUCUCACAGGAUGCCAUGAAGCGGACUGACCUUUUACAGCAUGAGCUGGUACAUUCCAUUGUUGGAUUUUUUUGCUUCAGGCCUCUGCCAAAGUAAAGCUGUAGGAGGAAGAAAGGAAAAUCCAUAACGGAGUCCUCCCAGCUCAGUGGAAAGGAGAGCUGGCAGAAAAGCCACAAACAUGGGGGCAAGUUGUUCAUGUGCCACUGAGACGUCCUUGGGCAAAAGCAUGAAAUAGGAAGAACACUAAUACCAUCUCUAUGAUUUGCUUCAAAAGAGGUUGUAAACAUUCCUUCAGUGAAUAGACAAAUCCUUUGAAAACUAAAAUGCCUAACACAAAACAAGGUGUUCCCAGAAUUCUCUGGAUCCUUUGGAGCUAUGUUUGACACAGAAAUGUGGCACAGACUGAAAAGGGUAAAUACGGGCUCAGAGUCUUCACUGCGUCUUCCGGAGCAUGGACCAAGGAUAACAUAAUAGAGGUAUAAAUAACAUGAUGGAGGUAAAAACGCUCACGAAUAGUUCUUGAUGCUUACUACUAGACUCCUGGCAGCAAAAAAGAUGCCUGCCUGCCUGCUGUGUUGCUUCAGUUGUGUCUGACUCUUAGCUACCCUUGGACUAUAACCUGCCGGGC
rnacentral:lncRNA from 1 species